rnacentral:rRNA from 1 species
GAAUUUUGGACAAUGGGCGAAAGCCAGACCCAGCAACGCCGCGUGCAGGAUGAAGGCCUUCGGGUUGAAAACUGCUUUUGUACGGAACGAAAAGCUUUGGGUUAAUAACCUGGAGUCAUGACGGUACCGAAAGAAAAAACCCCGGAUAACUACGUGCCAGAAGCCGCGUUAAAACGGAGGGUGCAACCGUUAAUCGGAAGUACUGGGCGUAAAGCGUGCGCAGGCGGUUUUGUAAUACAGGGGUGAAAUCCCCGGGCUCAACCUGGGAACUGCCUUUGUGACUGCAAGGCUAGAGUACGGCAGAGGGGGGUGGAAUUCCGCGUGUAGCAGUGAAAUGCGUAGAUAUGCGGAGGAACACCGAUGGCGAAGGCAACCCCCUGGGCCUGUACUGACGCUCAUGCACGAAAGCGUGGGGAGCAAACA